AGAGUUUGAUCCUGGCUCAGGACGAACGCUGGCGGCACACUUAACACAUGCAAGUCGAACGAGAGAAGAGGAGCUUGCUUUUCUGAUCUAGUGGCGGACGGGUGAGUAACACGUGAGCAAUCUGCCUUUCAGAGGGGGAUACCGAUUGGAAACGAUCGUUAAUACCGCAUAACAUAAUUGAACCGCAUGAUUUGAUUAUCAAAGAUUUAUCGCUGAAAGAUGAGCUCGCGUCUGAUUAGCUAGUUGGUAAGGUAACGGCUAACCAAGGCGACGAUCAGUAGCCGGACUGAGAGGUUGAUCGGCCACAUUGGGACUGAGACACGGCCCAGACUCCUACGAGAGGCAGCAGUGGGGAAUAUUGCACAAUGGAGGAAACUCUGAUGCAGCGAUGCCGCGUGAGGGAAGAAGGUUUUAGGAUUGUAAACCUCUGUCUUCAGGGACGAAAAAAGACGGUACCUGAGGAGGAAGCUCCGGCUAACUACGCGCCAGCAGCCGCGGUAAUACGUAGGGAGCGAGCGUUGUCCGGAAUUACUGGGUGUAAAGGGAGCGUAGGCGGGAUCGCAAGUCAGAUGUGAAAACUAUGGGCUUAACCCAUAAACUGCAUUUGAAACUGUGGUUCUUGAGUGAAGUAGAGGUAAGCGGAAUUCCUAGUGUAGCGGUGAAAUGCGUAGAUAUUAGGAGGAACAUCAGUGGCGGAGGCGGCUCACUGGGCUUUAACUGACGCUGAGGCUCGAAAGCGUGGGGAGCAAACAGGAUUAGAUACCCUGGUAGUCCACGCCGUAAACGAUGAUUACUAGGUGUGGGGGGACUGACCCCUUCCGUGCCGCAGCAAACGCAAUAAGUAAUCCACCUGGGGAGUACGACCGCAAGGUUGAAACUCAAAGGAAUUGACGGGGGCCCGCACAAGCAGUGGAGUAUGUGGAUUAAUUCGAAGCAACGCGAAGAACCUUACCAGGUCUUGACAUCGUAUGCAUAGCUCAGAGAUGAGUGAAAUCUCUACGGAGACAUAUAGACAGGUGGUGCAUGGUUGUCGUCAGCUCGUGUCGUGAGAUGUUGGGUUAAGUCCCGCAACGAGCGCAACCCUUACUGUUAGUUGCUACGCAAGAGCACUCUAGCAGGACUGCCGUUGACAAAACGGAGGAAGGUGGGGAUGACGUCAAAUCAUCAUGCCCCUUAUGACCUGGGCCUCACACGUACUACAAUGGCUGUCAACAGAGGGAAGCAAAGCCGCGAGGUGGAGCGAACCCCUAAAAGCAGUCUUAGUUCGGAUUGUAGGCUGCAACCCGCCUACAUGAAGUCGGAAUUGCUAGUAAUCGCAGAUCAGCAUGCUGCGGUGAAUACGUUCCCGGGCCUUGUACACACCGCCCGUCACG
rnacentral:rRNA from 1 species